CCCUCGAUAGCUCAGUUGGUAGAGCGGAGGACUGUAGAUCCUUAGGUCGCUGGUUCAAAUCCGGCUCGAGGGA